rnacentral:rRNA from 1 species
UACGUAGGGAGCAAGCGUUGUCCGGAAUCAUUGGGCGUAAAGCGCGCGUAGGCGGCCCUGCAAGUCCGCUGUGAAAGUCAAAGGCUCAACCUUUGAAAGCCGGUGGAUACUGCAGGGCUAGAGUCCGGAAGAGGCAAGUGGAAUUCCUGGUGUAGCGGUGGAAUGCGCAGAUAUCAGGAGGAACACCGAUAGCGAAGGCAGCUCGCUGGGACGGUACUGACGCUAAGGCGCGAAAGCGUGGGGAGCAAACAGG